CAAAACAAAGAUCAAAAUGCAUAUCAUUCCCAACCAAUAAUAUUGACAAAAAGAGGGUAAUCACUGGAUUUUAUGCCAGAAGUAAAUUUCCCAGAGUUAUAGGCACUGUGGGUGGUGUGAUCUAUACUCAUUUAAAAUUGCAAUCAUCAGGUAGGCAUAAAAUGUAAAUACUAUUGCCAUCUAUUCUGCACUAUGUAACCUUGAUUUAUCAUAACUAUAGGUGGAGAAAAUGGAUAAACUUUCAGAAACAGGAAAGUUUAUUUUUUCCCUAAUUUUCAAUGCAUUUGUUAUCAAUGGCUUAAAAUUAUGGAUCUAACAGCACGAUGGCCAGAGUCAUACCAUAAUCAGAUCUUUAUGAUAACUCAUCAAUUAAACGUUAAUUUGAAAGAGAGUUCCUAAAAGGAUACCUCAUAGGUGAUAGUAGUUAUGAAUCCACUAUUGACCUCUAGUUUAUAUAACUGCCA